GUAGGGCUACUUAGGUUCUGGUUGGGUGGUUCUUCCUUUUUGAGUGCCUGCUCUGAUAGUGCUGAAUGUAUGGGGAGGAAUAUUCAGACUGGCUACAGCUCCCCAAGUGUCUGUUUGUCUUUCCUUUGAAACUACAACGUGGUGGAUUCAGCAACAUGAGUUCUUCAGGUGCAAAAGAAAAUCCGACAUCUUCGCUCACAAGGAGAGAUGCCUGGACAGGGUUUACAGUCCAUCAACGCCGUAAGAGCAGGGGUGAUGUAAGACAAGGCGACAGCACUCAAGCCCAAAACCUGACGGAUGGACUCUCUUGGAAGGAAGGGAUUCUUCUUUCCAAUUCCUUCAGUUUGGGGACCUGACGUGGUCCCUUCCAAACUGAGGAUACCUGCUUAAGGUGGUUGCAUCUUACAUAGCAGGCCCAUCUCAGAAGUGAGAUUUGAGGAAGAAUAUUAAGUCCUUCAGAAGACCGUGGAGCUGGAGGAUGUCAUGGGGAAUCCCUUCCAUCUCUGUAGGAUAAACUCUGUUUCUUCUGAAGCUGGAAUCUUACAAGUUUCAUGGUGGCUCUAUACAGAAAGUGGAGCACUUGGAAAAUAGCCUUUCCUUUUCUCCGAUCCUCUUCCCCCUUUCUUCCUAAAGUAGCAAACCUUUUGCAGAAGAAUGGUAUGACAGGUCUUCAAGAACCAAGUCUUUAUAUAGUGGGAGUUUCUAUCAAAAAAUACCAAAGAUGACUUUGUACUGAAACCUUGUGAUAGCUUGUCUUCCUUCAGGGAAAAGAAGGCAAAAUAAAAGCAUCUAGUCUCAUGGAUGCAGAGUACCUUGGGUGUUCUUGAUUUUAGUUCCUGACUGCUCUGAAUACGCUGUUUCUUCCACAGUGAAAUUCUUUUGAAGUUUUUUUCCUUGGUUCUGAAUCAGAGGAGCAUAGCUCAUCAGAAUGUUUUUUUCAUUAGCUGAUUUGAUCAAUUAAUCUUCUUUUUUUCAAUGUAAGCCACAAAAGCUUGAUGUUUUUUUUUCUUGUUUCAUGUGUAGUAUUAUUUCUGAAGAUGUUAUAUUGUUGUUUGUAGAUUACACCAUUUUGCUAAGACUGUUUGAAGAAGGUGUCUCCCUCCCCCCCUUUGAAACUUUGAACCAAAGCCUGAUGUAUUUGAAAUUCAUUGAUCCUGUCUUUGUUUCUUAGUACUGGUGCUGUCAGUUGCCUUAAUUAUACCAUGUGACCUGCUCAGUCUGUGUUGCCUGAUUAGCCCCAGAUAUAUGAUUGAUAACACUAGUAACAAGGUGGUGGUGGGAAAACCAGGAUCUACAGAUCCCAGCUUUAGCUGGAAGAACGUACUCUAGCCCAUGUACUUUAGUACAUGGCUCAUAGCUAUCAGGAGUACAUUUAUAGCUUUCAUUUGUAAAAAUUGCACUAUAUAUCACAUUGCUGUAUUAAACAUAAAAUAAAUAACUUUGGAGGCUCUCUGCUGUUGGAACACUUAACACCUUCCUCCUCUUUGUAUUUCUAGAAAAAUUUGUCUUUGACUUUUGACUGCAAAUGCAUGGAUAACUUUCUAUGCCUGUUAAUGGAACACUAUCUCUGCUUUGUUGCUCCCAUGACAAUGACAUUUUUAUAUAAAUGGCACAUGUACUGUACAUGUGACUUCUUAAACUUGCCACUUGAAGUAUAAACUCUUGGUCAAAAUGAAGUCUUUGACACAUGCAAAUUGUAGUUCGUCUUGUCUAUAUAACCUUUGAUCAUUACUGCAUUACCUGAGUUUCAUUCUCAUAAACCAAUAAAAGAGCCAUGUUACUUAG